rnacentral:rRNA from 1 species
UACGUAGGGUGCAAGCGUUGUCCGGAAUUAUUGGGCGUAAAGGGCUCGUAGGCGGUCCAUCGCGUCGGGAGUGAAAAGCUGGGGCUUAACCCCAGUCCUGCUUCCGAUACGGGUGGACUAGAGGUAGGUAGGGGAGAUCGGAAUUCCUAGUGUAGCGGUGAAUGACGCAGAUAUUAGGAGGAACACCGGUGGCGAAGGCGGAAUCUC